GACGAACGCUGGCGGCGUGCCUAAUACAUGCAAGUCGAACGAACCGCGACUAGGUGCUUGCACUUGGUCAAGGUGAGUGGCGAACGGGUGAGUAACACGUGGGUAACCUACCUCAUAGUGGGGGAUAACAGUCGGAAACGACUGCUAAUACCGCAUAGGACAUAGGAUCACAUGAUUCUGUGAGGAAAGGUGGCGCAAGCUAUCGCUAAGAGAUGGACCCGCGGUGCAUUAGCUAGUUGGUAGGGUAAAGGCCUACCAAGGCGAUGAUGCAUAGCCGACCUGAGAGGGUGAUCGGCCACAUUGGAACUGAGACACGGCCCAAACUCCUACGGGAGGCAGCAGUAGGGAAUCUUCCGCAAUGGACGCAAGUCUGACGGAGCAACGCCGCGUGAGUGAAGAAGGUCUUCGGAUCGUAAAGCUCUGUUGUUAGAGAAGAACAGCGCAUAGAGUAACUGUUAUGCGUGUGACGGUAUCUAACCAGAAAGCCACGGCUAACUACGUG
rnacentral:rRNA from 1 species